rnacentral:hammerhead_ribozyme from 1 species
AUCCAUCUGACGAGUCCCAAAUAGGACGAAAUGCACGUCUCUGAU